rnacentral:pre_miRNA from 1 species
GUUCUACUUCCCCCGUCCUAAAAUUCUUGUCUUAGAUUUGUCUACAUACGGAUGUAUCUAUUCACAUUUAGAUAAAUCUAAGACAGGAAUUUUGAGACGGAGAGAGUAUAAU